GCGGCGCCCGCCAGGAGCUGGAGGCCGAGGCCGCAGAGCCAGGCGCCCGGCGCCCCCCGCAUGCUGCCGGCCCCGGGACAGGAUUCAAGGACCCGGGGCUUGGAGAACAAUCCCGACCGUCAGCAGCACCCGUUGGGAUCAACGCCUGCGUUUCUGCCCAGUGGAGCGGGACGAAAAACACCCAAUAUUGACCAGCAAAUGGCCACUUCACAGAUCACCUGCCUGCCUCCCGUGUCAUAGGCCAGAGACUGUCCCCCAUCCCUCCUGCACUAAACCCAGCGUGUCUGGUUAAACCAUCUUCCAAAAAGCCCUCCAGCCUGGCUGCGAAGAUCCCACGGCCUGAAGGGUGGAAGGGCCAGGCUGCUGGGAGAACGCCAUUGGGCCUGCCAGCGUUGGUCAGCAUCUGAGAUUCUGCUUCACUUCCUGUCCUAAAACUGGAGCCUAGCCCCUCUGUGCCCUGGGACAGAGCUGCCCCGUGCCGCCCGCCGGCUGGCUGCUCUCACCAAGGGCACGUUUGCCGGGAUCCUUUGCAAUGGGAGGUGUCAUGGAAUUGGCAUUGUGCUGAUUCCCUCCCCCUGGAGAGAGCUCCGGCAUGUGCGUGUCCCCUCUUGGAAUCACGCCGCUGUGCCCCCCCAUCGGAGCGUUUCAGCUUCAAUACAAGUGCCGACUUCCACAGGCAGCGUCCCUGGGGUAGAAGAUUCGGUUGGCUUCGACCCCUCCGCUCCCCCUGGCUUCUGAGAGCCCCUUUCAGUGGCAGCCAAGCGACGUCAGGGGCUGGCAGCGGGGCUGGGUCGGCCCUGGCUCCCCGAGCCGGCUGGAUCCAAUUCAGGGGGAGCUGAGUCUCGUGAGUGCCUCAGGGGGCGGUGGGUGGGGCUGGCAAAAAGAACUAGGCCAGAGAAGGGAAAAACCUCUGUGGGUGUGGAAACAGCUAGAGCCAAAGAGCAUCAGGGGCUGGGAGCGGAGCACUGAGAACAGAACUCUCUGAACCCUGUCCCAGGGCCGAGUCCUUCCGCCCCUCCCGGGAGCAUCCUCCCCCCAUGGAAGACAGAGGGGAAGAAGCUAGAGAGUAGAGGGAGGAGGGCGGAUGGCAACGUGACGACAGGGCACGGAAUCAGCUGGUCCGUGCCCAUAUACCCGCCUGGCACCUCUCUGCAGUGGCCGGCUCGGCCUCCGGAAUCUCAGCUUUCAUGCCUAGCCGUCAGAGGGGCGAAGGAAACCUCAGAAACGUGACCCACGAGUAACCCAGGCAGCUACGUCUGCCGGAGUCUGCACAGAGCCUGGGCCAAUAGCUCAGAGAAGUGUGAACCGUCCCCUUCAUCGCGGGGAGGGGUGGACUCAGAUUCCCAGUGCCGAGCAUGGCUAACGCCUCCAGCCCUCGUGUGGAGAGGGGGGCAGGGUCCCUUUGGGGGCCCCGGCAGGGGGCGGUUGGGAGAUGCCGCUGCUCAUUUGCCCCCCCCCCCCGCAGAAGGGCCCCGCAGAGCUUAGCGAGUCCACGAUGAACCGCGGCCUGGCCCCACUGGAUGUCAGGAGGUCGGCGCUCAACACCCCCCCCCCUUAUUUCCCCAUCUGACCCCACGGAGUGGCUACAGUGCAGGGCUCCUGGGCUCCGUUCCCAGCGCUGCCACCGGCUGCGGGCAACUCCCAACCCUCAGAACCGGGCACUGAUGUGGGGGACCCCAACUUGAGCCAUCUCAGGCCUGGUUCUCAGAAGAUGCCGAGCGCCCGCAGCACGUCCGGCCCGGCUGGGCUCUCUGCCUCCGACACAGGGAACAAUUCGAUCCCCUCACGCCCCCCCGGCUGCCUGGGCUCCGGAGAACGUGGUUGUGUCGCUGGAGGCAGCAGAUCUGUCGCCCAGGCGCGCGGGGAGUCAGCCAGGGCUAUUUUUACACGGUCACUGUGCUAACUUUGGGCCAAGCGACUCUGGAAGCUCCAGCCAGAGCGUCUCCUGGUGCGAGCAGCUAAAUUCAGCCCUGGAGCUGCGUUGGGAAAGGCGCCGAGUGAGGAGUGGGCGACACGGCUGAGUAGGGGCUGCCCUUCUCCUUAGCAGGGCCCAGCUGUGGACUACGCUGCUAGAGGUGCCAUCUUACACUUCAGCCACGGCCACGGAUGGCCACAUCCGUCACGGGCAAUGAAGAUCCCAUUGGCCUGGUACUUCUUCCACUCCUGUCCCAGGCCGUGGCAUAGGGUUACUGCAUGCUGGUAAACAGCUGCAACGUUCCACCCCAGAAACAGCUGCACGGCAGCCGGGAGUGAACGAUCCCUGCAAACGCCGUCUCUAAAGUGCUCUGGGAUCCUGCUAAAGAACCGAUAUUCAGUAUCAAGGAGCCACAGGCCCGGUGCUCUCCGACAGCUCUGGAGCCGUCACACUCUCACUGGGGUCAGCCCUCAGCUGCACCGUCUGCUGGGACUGAACCUCGGAGCCGUCAGACCCCGGUGUCGAGCUGGGAGCUCCCUGGAGCGAGUCCACCUGGACUGAGCACCCAAGGGAGACUUGCACCCCCGGCUUCCGGACUCUGCAGUGACUCUCGGCCAGUGGGGUAACAGCAGGAGGGUUUCUUAGCCAUCUGGACACGGCGCAGACAGUCCUUAGUUAACACAGAGAACAAUUGAAUAUUUUUCCCCCCAUGUUAAGUUCUCCUCACACCUUCUACGGGUCAUCUCGAUUCUCACUUCAAAGUUUUUUCUUCUGCUGCCACUGAUAGCUCAUCUCAGUUGAUUGGCCUCUUACAGUUGGUACGCGUACUUCCACCUGUUCACGUUCUCUGUAUGGAUAAAUAUCUUCUGUCUGUGUGUUCCAUUCUAUAUGCAUCUGAAGAAGUGGGCUGCAGCUCACGAAAGCUUGUGCUGAAAUAAAUGUGUUAGUCUCUAGGGUG